rnacentral:lncRNA from 1 species
UUUUUCAGCUUCCACAUAUAGCUGCAAGCCCUUCUUUUGCAUCAGUUUCAACAUAUUCAAAAACUAAAUGGAAAUGGGCUGUUUUAGGUAACUGACGAUCCACGAAAUUGAUAGCUGCUGCACUGGUACGGAUCGUGAGGCUGAAGACACCGACGAUCUCGCUCCCUAACGGUGGUAUUCUAGAUCAUUCCUGAAAUCCCCAAUCUCUCUUAAUGAAACCCUAAAUUAAACAUAAUCGAAGAAGUCGAAUAUAGUAAUUGAUUUUCAGAAAUUGGGGGAAGGGAUAGAGAGAAGAGAUCAACCACUGCUUCGCAAUUGCUCCUCCGGUGACGUCGUUUCCCUAAUUCGUCGAUGAUUUCGGUACCGUUCGAAACCUCUUCAAACACCUUCAAUUCAUCGAGUGGCCACUCGAACUCAUCAUGAAACUCCUGAGGAUGUGUAUUCUUUACACAAAGAAAGCAUAACAAGGAUCCCAAGAGAAAUCAAAACCAAAACUAAAAAAAAAAAAAAAUCGGAUUUCAAUACAUAUAGAAGAAGAAGAUCAAAACAAAAAAACAUAAGAGAAAUUAGCCUCAUCCUUCCAUGGAUUCCACCCAAGAAACGCUCCUAUUUACCUUUUUCCUCCCCUCAAACCGACGAAUAAUUAACCAUUGCUUUUUCGCCAAAAAUGGAAGACUCGAAUACUACUCACCAUCGCAAAACAGGAUUGGGGAUUGACUCAUGUUUGGGCAUUUUGAGCUUGACGUUAGUCAUGAAAUCGAUCGACUUAAGCUUCUGAUCAUUAGGAUGAGCCAGCUUGUGAUUAUUCGCGUGAAAUCGAUCAGGAUGAGUCAAUCAUGAAAUCGGUCGACUUAAACUUGUGAAUUUGGGUUAUAUUCAUCAGAUCACAUUAAUAUUUUUUGUUUUAAUUAUUUGUCAUGUCAAUAAAUAUUCUUACCACGUGUCAGUCAUGUCAUAAAUAAACUAACAUCCGUUUGUCUAACUGUCAUUUUUUUAACGGGAGGGGCAUAUUUGAGCUAUAUUUUAUAAUGUUAGAUGUACUUUUGAAAAAAAAAUUAGUUUAGGAUGAAAAUGGGACAUUCGUGUAAACAUUAG